CUACGGGUCGCUCCAGUGAGGAAUAUUGCACAAUGGGGGGAACCCUGAUGCAGCAACGCCGCGUGGAGGAUGACGCAUUUCGGUGUGUAAACUCCUUUUAUAUGUCAAGAAAAUGACGGUAGCAUAUGAAUAAGCACCGGCUAACUCCGUGCCAGCAGCCGCGGUAAUACGGAGGGUGCAAGCGUUACUCGGAAUCACUGGGCGUAAAGGACGCGUAGGCGGGUUGGAAAGUCGGGUGUGAAAUCCUACAGCUUAACGGUAGAACUGUACUUGAAACUUCUAAUCUAGAGUAUGGGAGGGGGAGAUGGAAUUAGUGGUGUAGGGGUAAAAUCCGUAGAUAUCACUAGGAAUACCUAAAGCGAAGGCGAUCUCCUGGAACAUUACUGACGCUAAGGCGUGAAAGCGUGGGGAGCAAACAGGAUUAGAUACCCGGGUAGUC
rnacentral:rRNA from 1 species